CUUACCAACCAUGCUAAACCGCAGACCCAGACCAAGAAUGAAGACCUCACAAACAGAGUACAGCACGAACACCCCGAGGCUGGGCUGGGUUGUGCAACCUGGACUCAGAGGUAGACAUAACACAGUAAAAAGUUAACCUGUCAAACUCAAAUUAGCAUAUGUUACAUUUAGUAUGGUAUGUAUUCAUUUGUGGAUGUCCAUCAUCCAUUUUGUAGGAUAUGUUAUGAAUUACAAUUCAUAUGAUAUGUUACGAAUUGCAAUUCAUACAAUAUGUUACGAAUUCCAAUUUGUUGUGGCUAACAUUAGCUACAUGGCUAACGUUAGCUAAGGUUAUGGUUAAGGUAAGGGUUAAGGUUAGGGUUAGGGGUUAAGGUUAGGGGAAGGGUUAGUUAAUCUGCUAAGUAGUUGCAAAGUAGAGACCUCCCUCCAUUCAUUUUUGGCUUAAGUAACCUUCUGUCUUAUGUACCCAUACAAAACAUAACAUAUCAUACUAAUUAGAGCAUCACAGAUUUACAUUUACUAUGUUACGUCUUCGAGGCCAGGCUGGAUAAAUAGGCCUACUACAAAAUUAACCAGAGUUAUUUUAUUUCACAUAUUUUAUCAAAUUGACAUGAAUCGAAUCCCGUAAAUCGGAAAUAGACUGCUUACACGGUAAGGAAACCAAUGUGUAAUUUUGUAAUUUGUGUGAACUAUCCCUUCAACACAAAAUGCCUGCACUCAGACAAACUUCAAUUUAUAGGCCUAAUGAUAAUGACAGCGUAAUGUUGAUAGGCUAAUCAUGCUAAACUGGUCCUUUACAGAACAGUCAAUGUGACCCACAAUGACUUAGCUAUCAAACAUUGGCAAUUUAAGCGUUAAACGGGGAAAAAAACGAAUUCAAGUAUAACGAUAAAACUAGGCCUGCAAGAUUGCAGUCUCAUUUCUGUUUGGACUUAAGAAUGACAUGUUUUGGUUAGUCGAUGGGGGAUGAGGGGGUUACUAACAGCUCACCCCUACGUUCCAUCACUGUUUAGAGGGGAAAAGUUGACCCUAAUGCACCCAGACUGGUUCACUGUUAGGGAGGAACCCAACACUUUCAUCUUAUCUACACACGAAACAGAAACAGUUUUAGUGCUAUUAGCCACAUUUAUAUUGAUUGCGUAAGAGCCAAACAUUAUUUUGAUGGAGAACUGUUUUGAAAUUGGCUCAUUCUGUUGAAUUAUUGUAUACAGUUCUAUCAGUACAUUUCAGAUGUUAUGAAUUGUGAAACAUCACCCUCCCUUCCUCCCUUCAUCAUCCCAUCCCUCCUCCGGUUGCUCCUCCCCAUCCCACUCUUCUCUCUUUCUUGACCGCCUUCCAACACUUGUUUUUUCCCUCUUCUCCUCUUCAGUAUGUGUGUGUGUUUGUGUAGGUGUGUGUGUGUAGGUGUGUGUGUUUGUGUAUGUGUAUGCAUGUGUGUGUGUUUGAUCAUGCGUGUGAGAAAGCAACAGAGCAAGAGGUGUUCUUGCAUUUUUCUUUGCAUAUUUUUGUCUGCCUCCUGCCCUUACCAAAUAAAUCAAUGCUAAUAGCACAUUUUAUACGCUCAACGACAGAAAACAAACCCCUCUUUUCAUGAGUAAUGUUUGGUUGUCUGUGGUUGAGGUAACUUUCUCCCCAAAUAUUGGGUCACCGAUUAAUCCCUCAGCUGAGGAAAGUAAUGUUUUCCCAAUGAGAGGAAGAAAAAGAGGACAGUGGGAGAUGACAGAUGAUAUGACUCCUGUUUGUGGCAGUGGACUGUCAACCUGGGAAAACCUCAAACGGACGUCUUCCGGUUUAACUGAGAUUAGUCACGGUCCAGGUCUAGUCUGGUCUGGACGGUGGCUUCAGUACGGUAAGUCAGAUCCGUGGUUGGGUUCCUGUAAGUGUCCACUUGGCACAAACCUAGUACCAAAUCCCGGUUCUGAAACACAAAAAAACAAAACACUUCCUUGUUUUUUAUACGGAUGGUGGAUCACUGAACCUUCCACAUGAGGAGAAAGGUGAGCGCCAAAAGUAUCACAUAUUUUCCACCCAUGAAUCAACUCCAAAACAACCAGGAGAGGGUAAAAACGGACAUUUAAGGCUGCAUGACUCCAGAACAUUUAAUAAAAAAGGGAUCAAAGCAAACUUCUGUGUAGUAUAUGCAUAGACCUAUAAACUCAUGAGGAAUCACCUUCAGCUCCCAUUGGGCCAUUCAACCCUCAUCUCCAAGCCAGUAGCAUCAAUCUCAUGUCCCCUGUUAACUACCCCCCCAGGUGACAGGCUGUUGAUGGAGAUAACUUAGGCUGUACUGGGGUCAGGGUUAGGGUAUUCCUUAUACAUACUUCUGGUCUCCCCUGAGUAUGACUUCAUUUCCUGUGCUGGAGGUUGUAACCCAAACCCUGCUAUGUCAGAUUUAUGACCAGUCUCUCUCUAUAGCCCUAAACAGCAGCCUGGAUUGUGUCACAACUUUCCUCCCACCACGUCAACUCUGAGCCCAGACAGAAACCCAGCCUCACUGUGUUCCUGUGCCUGUAGUCCUGGGAGGCCUUGUUGUUAACCUGUGGUUUCCUGACCCUGCCCGAGCAAACUGAGGACGGACGGCUCGGGAAGCGUCUGUCUGUCCCAGAGCCUGUUGCCAGUUGGCCCAGAGACAGAAGGGCUGGAGAGGUGACAUGACAACUCACACCCACGUCUGCCUCGGGGGUUCCAGCCAGAAGGCUUGGGGUAUUCAAUCAAAAUGUGUAUCAGGAAGUCUUCUAAGAGAGAGCAUGCCAGUUUAUGCAUUAUGGUUUUAUCUCGAAUGCUUGAAAGCAUGUCUUGUUCCAAUGUUACAAAACAGUUGACAGAAGACACAGAACUCAGUGGCAUUUUGCAAAACACUAAAUGUAUUUUCAAAACGAGAAUGAUUAAAGCAACUUCAAAAGCAACCUAACAUUUUUUUGCACUAUUAGUUAGAGCCUGUAAGCAAGCAUUUCACUGUAAGGUCUACACCUGUUGUAUUUGGAGCACGUGACAAAUAAACCUUGAUUUGAUUUGA